rnacentral:rRNA from 1 species
CGGGGUGCAGCAGGCGCGAAAACUUUACAAUGCUGGAAACAGCGAUAAGGGGACCUCGAGUGCCAGGUUACAAAUCUGGCUGUCGUGAUGCCUAAAAAGCAUUGCAUAGCAAGGGCCGGGCAAGACCGGUGCCAGCCGCCGCGGUAACACCGGCGGCUCGAGUGGUAACCGUUAUUAUUGGGUCUAAAGGGUCUGUAGCCGGCCGGAUAAGUCUCUUGGGAAAUCCAGCAGCUCAACUGUUGGGCUUUCAGGAGAUACUGUCUGGCUCGAGGCCGGGAGAGGUGAGAGGUACUUCAGGGGUAGGGGUGAAAUCUUGUAAUCCUUGAAGGACCACCAGUGGCGAAGGCGUCUCACCAGAACGGACCUGACGGCAAGGGACGAAAGCUAGGGGCACGAACCGGAUUAGAUACCCGGGUAGUCCUAGCCGUAAACGAUACUCGCUAGGUGUCGGCCACGGUGCGACCGUUGUCGGUGCCGUAGGGAAGCCGUGAAGCGAGCCACCUGGGAAGUACGGCCGCAAGGCUGAAACUUAAAGGAAUUGGCGGGGGAGCA